rnacentral:rRNA from 2 species
AGCAUAGCGAUUUGGGAUAAGUCCCUUGGAAGAGGGCAGCAUGGAGGGUGAUACUCCCGUCUCUGCUCAGGUUGUCUGUGUGUACGAUACGCUUUCUUUGAGUCGAGUUGUUUGGGAAUACAGCUCAAAGCAGGUGGUAAAUUCCAUCUAAAGCUAAAUAUUGGUGCGAGACCGAUAGCGAACAAGUACCGUGAGGGAAAGAUGAAAAGAACUUUGAAAAGAGAGUUAAAGAGUACCUGAAACUGUUGAAAGGGAACCGUAUCGUUUCUAGUGUGUAUCCUAUGCAUAUUUCAUUGGCGGUUGUAAAUUGCUGGUGCCCUGUGUAUGGGUGUGACGUCAGAGUCAGUUCGAAUUGCGGGAGAUGGGUAGUGAGGAGGUGCGUCACUUUUUGUGAAAGUUACAGCUCGCUAUCUAGUAGCCGUGGUUGAGACUGAGGUGCC